GUGAGGAAUUUUCCGCAAUGGGCGAAAGCCUGACGGAGAAAUGCCGCGUGAAGGAUGAAGGCCUAGGGGUUGUAAACUUCUUUUCUCAGAAAAGAAUUAUGACGGUAUCUGAGGAAUAAGCAUCGGCUAACUCUGUGCCAGCAGCCGCGGUAAGACAGAGGAUGCAAGCGUUAUACGGAAUGAUUGGGCGUAAAGCGCCUGUAGGUUGUUUAAAAAGUAUUCUGUCAAAGAUUAGGGCUUAACCCUAGAUAGGCAGAAUAAACUUUUAAGAUAGAGUUUAGUAGAGGCGGAGGGAAUUCCCGGUGGAGCGGUGAAAUGCGUAGAUAUCGGGAGGAACACCAAAGGCGAAGGCACUCUGCUGGGCCAAUACUAACACUGAGAGACGAAAGCGAGGGGAGCAAAUGGGAUUAGAAACCCCUGUAGUCC
rnacentral:rRNA from 1 species